GCCUGUCAGCUUAUUGGCCCCGCUGAUCCCGCCCCGUAGCGCAGGGCAGCCUUUAACCUUUGGCCCCAGCGGACGCCAGCCACUCAGAUCGCUUCUUGUUGGUAUGUGUAGCGGCAGUGGCCGCCGGCGGAGCAGUCUGAGCCCGACGAUGAGGCCGGGGACGGGAGCUGAGCGUGGAGGCCUCAUGGUGAGUGAAAUGGAGAACCAUCCUCCUUCGCGGGGUCCCGGGGACGGGGAGCGGAGAUUGUCCGGCUCAAGCCUCUGCUCCAGCUCUUGGGUCUCUGCUGACGGCUUCCUGAGGAGACGGCCCUCGGUAAGGGAUCGGUGGAGCAGGGGGAAAGCGGCACAAUGAAAAACGGAGUCAGAGAGGCAGGAAGCUUUUUCCAGAAGGAGAAGAAGAUAAGAGCGGACGGAGGAAGAGCUCGAGAUGGUGGGAUAUGUAACGAGGAAGAGAAUUGGAGAGCGGGGAUGCACAAAGGGAAGGAUGUGGGUCCCUGGAAGUUCCCAUUGGGCUUGGCCUAGACAGAUGCGCGGUGGAGGUGCUGGGCCUUGGGCGCGGUGAGCCUCUUGGAGAGGUAGGCCGGCUGUAGCAGGAAGGGGGAGGCGGAGACUUGAUGUUGUAGAUUUUAAAAGCGGCUGGUAAAAUCUGCUUUCACCAAUGGUAGUGGUGUCUGCAGGGGGUACAGUUGGGAAAAUUGGCAGGGGAUAACUACCUGUUUUUAAGACCCGGAACAAUGGGCACACAGGUAAAGAAAUAGUUGUCUUUUAAAAGCGAAUUAAAAUGGAUGUAUUGGUUGGUUGUCUUUAGGGUCUGUGAAUGACAGACCUUAGUCUUUGGAAAAAAAAUUUUUUUUGGCAGAAGUAAUUCUACUUGUGUUAAAGAUUCUGUUAGGAAAUAAUAUGUUUAUAUGUUAGGAGUUAAGUGCCCAUGGGUACACGUAAUGUGUUCUUUUUUGGUAAGACCAGCUCUUACCUUAGUUAAUUUAAUUUGGUAGAUUCUCAUUUCAGAAUUUAAGAUCAACUUAAAAAUAAAUUUAAAGAUAAUUAGUGUUCUGACAUAAGUUAGCUAUCUUCUAUCUGUGUGAACUAGAACAAAGUUGUGGUUUUUCACCCGUAACAGUUUUUAAAUUGGCUUUCACAUGCGUGUUCCCUGAGUUUAGCAAGCCAGCUAGUAAGCAGUGUGCUUUAAAAAAAAAAAAAAAAAAGGAAGGAAAGAAAGAAAAGAGAAAACCUAUGCUUUAGCUGUCCGGUAUUUAUUUUAAUUCUUUCCAUUUUGUUCUGUAAUUUGUUUAGUUUCAAGUUCUUUAUAAGUACUGGUAUGUAGAGUGCAUUUUGUUUGUUUAAGAAAGUGUAAGUUAAUCCAGUAAUUGAAUUACACAUUGGCCUAAUAUGCCGCUGCACAUAACCAAUUUGUUGAAAUCAGAUUUUUGAGAAGCAUUUAUUGUUACUUGCUAAUUUUUAAAUUGUCCCUAUUUUUCAGAUGGGGCACCCUGGCAUGCAUUAUGCCCCAAUGGGAAUGCACCCUAUGGGUCAGAGAGCCAAUAUGCCUCCUGUACCUCAUGGAAUGAUGCCGCAAAUGAUGCCCCCUAUGGGAGGGCCGCCAAUGGGACAAGUAAGAAUGUUUUUGUUUUAUUUUGUAUUUAUUUGUUUAUUUUUGCCUGUGGUAUCAUUGUGUCAAGAUUUCAAAAUCCGGGUGAAUACUUGCAGCUGUUUAAGGAUUAGCUUAUGCCAAAAUAAUGUCAAAUAAGUCAAAUGUUGAGUGAUGACACUAAUCAAAUUUUGAAUGUAAGGAGAAGCCUUCUGUAUAAAAGAUUUAUUUUCUACCAACAACAGAAUUCAGUUCUUUUAUUAAGUAGCUGUAUAUGUAGUCUUUUUAAUUUAAUAACUUUCUUUUUCCUAUUAUGUCAAUUGAAGUUAAUGCUUGAGUAGUGAAUAUUAUAGGUCAACAUAAUUUAUGUCCGUGGACCAUGUAAAUGCACAGAGUCUAAAAAAACAGAAUUGUUUUGUUUAGGUCUUGGCUUAGAAUAAAGUUGAUUCCUGAAAUAGCAUUCUCUUCUGUGUGUGUGUGUGUGCGUGCGCGCGCCCGUGUUGGGAAUAGAAUAGGAAGGUUCUACUCUAAUUUAAUUCUUCAUUAGGACAGUGCCAAAUAGGUGGUUCAUUUUCCACUUACACUGUUUUGUUUUGUUUUGUUUUAAAUGCUUAUUGCUUCUGCACUCCUGCUUUUGAGCUGUCCCUUUCAUUUCCAGUAUAAAUUGUAAACGGAUAUUUUGUGGGAAUGAUUUGGAUCAAAAGGUUUUAAUGCUGACUCAGUGAAUUCAGUAGAACUGAGUUCCUAGAGAAGCAUCCAAGAAAGGUAACAGGUUCAGUUACCAUGAGUAAUUUUAUGCCCCCUGUCAGGUUCUGUGAUACAUAUAUUCUUUGUUGGUUCAGUUCUUUCCAUUUUAGUAUCUAUAAAUCAUCAAAAAUUUAGGUUGAUAAAAUAUUUUGGAAAGCCAAUUAGGUAUGGUCUUUCUGCUAAUUAAUACUGUUUAUGCUGAUAAUCACUUGAGCCUUGAUAUUUUAAUUUUUUGGUGAAAUUAUAGUGGAGAAAGGAGUUUGCUCUGUGUCUUUCUCUUUUUAACUUAACCUUAGGAGUAGAAGGGCUUAAUGUCAAGUGGCUUUCUUCUUUAUUUGGAAUAUAGCCCUUAAGUUUGUAUAAAAAUUUUUACUCAAAGACACCAGGCCCCCAAAAUUCUGCUGGGAGGAUUUUUGUUUGUUUGUUUUUUUAAUAAAAGAACCAUUUAUUUUGUGAUUCUAGAAUAACACAAGAUUUAAAACUCCCUUAGGUGAUGGAGAAACAAUUCUGAUUCCUCUUCUGUUUCUCUCUAUCUGUAAGCAGCAAGGAGCUCUUCUGGUUUUCUUAGUAGAGCUGCUCUAACUAGAUAAUGAGCUUUAAAAAAUAUUUAUUCUUUAAAUGCUCUGGUUCUUAUUUAAAAUUAGUUUCUUUCCACAGAAAGAUAAAAUAAAACAAUUUGCUACUGCCAGAUGCUUCUCUCUUUUCUGGGGCCUUCUGUUUCCAUUGGGCCAAUCAAGGUAAGUUUUGCAAGGGAUUGACCUGCUUACCCUUGCUGUAAUGGUGCUAUUGCACUACCAGACCAAGACACCAGCUAGUCAUUUCUAGUAAAAUGCAGAUUUUAUUUAUUUUUUUAAGUACUUUUGUGUAUCUCAUUGACAUAAGCUGGUCACAGUUUGCUUUAUGGCCCUUUCUCUUUAGCUGUAUCAGUGACCAUCUUCCUAGUAAGGUUACUUGCUAUCUGGUACACGUCUGUUCAAAUCCUUUGAAUUUUACCUUGUGGUUUUCUUUUUCCCUAGACCAGUGUAUGCUAUGUAUCUGUAAGUGUACCUGACUAUUUAGAAGUUUAAAAGUCUGUCUCCCUCUUGGCUCUUGUUAGGAUCAUGAAUGAAUGGAUGACUUAAGAGUCCAGCUCUGAGGGUCCCAAAAGAAACUCCAUUGCUUUUCCUUAAAAUUAGAUUGUUUCUUUUUUUCUUCUUAAUAUCUAACUUAUAUGGGACCCAAAUUAGUAAAACUAAUUCUUAUUUGAGCUUUGGUAACAGACUAGGAGGGCAUGGAUAAUUUAAAUUCUCAAGUAAUCUAGAAAUCUAAUUUAAAGCCCUGUAAGCAACUACCUUAAAGAUAAAAGUUGCUAAUUAGCAAAAUUGAUCUUUUUUCUGCAUAUCAUCUCUUCUGUCUUCCCACUUAGAGAUAUUAAUGGUCAGAAGAUAAUGAGAAACAGUAGGGUGCCUAUGUAGUUCAGUGUGGUGACACAAAGUUGGUAGAGUUCUGCCAUUCAAUUUUAAAAAGUCAAUUUACAGAUUUAGACUUUGGGACUGAAGGUUAUGGAACCUUCAUGUAUAUUGCCUAGUUCACAUUAAUACCUCAUUCUGGGACCAGCUGAAGAUGAAAAUUGGUGCCAGUCUUACUUGCUAAAUGAUUCUGGUCUUUGGAAUGUUAGUGAACAUGACGUGAAAUUUUAAAACUUGUUUGUAAAAUAGUAUGCUGACUGGACAGAAUACCCACGUAUGGAGCCAGAAGUCGUAAUUUUUUUGAUGCAUCAAGUUACAGGUUAAAGGAGUAUUAUGGUUUUCUUAAAGAGUUUUUUUAUUUGUUUUUAUUCAGGAGAUAACCUACAGUGCCCCUUUUAGAAUUCAGGCUUAAUCUAUUAGUACUAAAAAGUGCAUUUCUUUCAAGUUUAUAUCAGUUAUCUGUUGUAUAGGUUAAAUUUGCCUCUUACUGUAUGUUAACUUCAUGUGGGAAAGUUGUUCUUCUGCUUUUACAGGAUUAUAGAAUCUUAACAGCUGGAAGGGACCUUGAAAGUUGUGUAACCUUUAAAUAAUAUGGAAAUUAAAUAAUGGUUUAUCACUGGUUAAAAAAACCAUUAUAAAUAAUUUCCCUGCUUGCUGGCAGUACUCAAAAAUUUGCAGUAGAGAUUUGCCUUAAGAUGUGAUUAUAUGUGAGGCCAUCUUCUACUUAUAUAGUAAGUAAUGUUUUGCUUUUGAAAUGUUUUCACAUCUAAUUUUUGUUGUUCUUUGUACACAAAGGACAUGCAAGUCCUUCCUUUAUCACAGGUGAUUUUGCCUUCACUGAAAGUCCUUCUAGCUGGCUCUUUUUUUCUUUUUUUAAUUUUUUAUCUUUCUUUUAAUGAGAAAAGUAGAGUAAAAGACUAAACUUUUUCAGCUCUAACAACCUAUGGUUCAAUUCAGAUCAUUUGAUAAGAAGAGUAGGUGAUAUGUAUGAGAUAUUAUGGGUUGAUGUGGAAGUAACAAUACUUUUAUUAGUGCCUCCCUAAUUCUAAUUAUUCAUUACUUUUUGGGUUCUAUUCAAUAAAUUGAUAAAUGAAUCAUUGCUUUUUACAAAUGAGUUUGAUUUUCUUGUCCUUAAAUUGAGUAAGACGAGCUUUAACAGAUCUUGAGUCUAUUCCUGCUGCCAUCUGGACCCAAGCAGUUACACUCUCAUGCCCAAGAUGCUUUUAACUUUUAGGGUUUUUUUGUUUUUGUUGUUGCUUUUUUGUUUUGUUUUCUGUUUGUUUUUGCUUUAAGCUGCCCCCUCAAAUUCUUUUAGAUUUCAGCAUGUUGUCUCCUUGCCCAAGAACCUCCAGUGUUUUUCUGUACCUGUAUAAUGUCUAAAUUUCACAAUUUAACUUCCAAGACUCUCCCAUAGUACAGUUCAGUGCAUGAUUCUGAGCUGCAUGUCUUCACACUCCCUAAUUUGAAACCAGGCUGGUCUUUUUAUAUCUUGGGUGAUUGAAUCAGUUCAUGACUGAGCUCAUGAUGUUCAUGCCCUCCUGGCCACAGCUCACUACCACCAUGAACUUUUCUUACCUAAGUUCUACCAUUUCAAGUUCUGCUUUCUCUCAAAGAUCCUCAGCAAUAACUUUGUCCAGCAUACACCUCCCCUUCAAAAUAUUAAAAUAAAAUCCUAUGAAAUCUGCCCACAACUCUUACUAUUUUGGUUAUUUGGGGAUUUAGUUUUGAUUUGUUUUGUUUAAUGGUUUAAUUGCUCUGUCUUUCCAGCAAGUAAUAGACUGUAAGCUCUUAGAGGGCAGGACCUGUGUUUUCUACUUUUUAAGAAGUCCACAGGUGCUGAGCACAGUUCUUGGCACAGCAUGGGUGCUCAGUAAAAUACUUGUUGAAUGAAUGAAACAAAAACAUACUCUUUCCUACAUUAUAGGCCUUGAAGAUAGUAGUUGUUACAUGUGACUAUUUUCAUUGGUUACUUGUGACUUUACAUUGUUACCACUUCUUAGUGUAUGCCUCUCUACAGUUGCUUUUUCAUUUGAUAAAAAUGGAAGAUAAAAUGAAGUAAAUAAUUUUUGUUUGGUGAAUAAAGCAAAAAUAUUUAUUUCCUUUUAUUUUAAAUUAUAAGCAAAUAUAUUUCUAUCAGUAUGAUUUAUUGAUCGUUUUAAGACGUUAAUUUUUCCAUACCCUAAGGGAAAAUGAUUUGGAAUAUAGGCCUUCCAGAGAAAUCCAAAGUGUUGGGUGUCUUAGGUUUUUCUGGCUGAUUUGACCAAUUGUUCCUAUUGGUUUUGAAUUACCUUUACUUUUGGGUAUUUAGAGAAUCCAUGCCAUUGAAUUGAAUGUUAGUAAGUGACAAAAAGCCUUUUUUUUUUUUUUUUAAGUUAUUUGCUCAUGAUUGUUGAAUCUCACUAACUUUCUGUAUGCAUUUACGUUAUCCAGGCAAGUAAUUUUUUUAAAAAAUAGAUUGAGCUAGAACUAAUGUGUUUGUAUAACUUCUCGGCUGUGUGUAUGUGGUUAGAUUUUGAUGAAUUUACUAACGAUAUUAUUUUCUUUAGAUAGUAUUUCAGUUAAUAUGAACUUACCUAUUCAAAACCCUUAGAGUAGUGUUUGUAAGUAUGGAGAAUAUUUGGAGAGCUCUAAGAAGACUAUAAGUGUGGAAAAAUGAACUGUACCCCUCUUCUGCCUUUGACAUUCAAGGGCAGAGUAUUCUGAAGAUGUUGAGAAGUCUUGCAGAAGCCUUCUGAAACCAUUUUUCUCAGUGUUUCUUGGUUUUAUUUUACCAUCUUCUGCUCCCCCACCUCCCCAGCCUUCUUUACCUCCCUGUUAUGUGUUUAUUUUGCUUUGUCUAGCACAUUGCAUGGAAUUAACGUUGCAUGGAAUUAGCAUUUUGUGAGAAAUGCUAUUGUUGGGGCUGUUUAUUCAUUUAGUCUGGUCUUUAGGAGGAAAAGGCAACAUCCAAAUUAGUAUUAACAGACAUGAAUGAAUCAUUGUAGAGUGCAACAAAUGUAUUCAUUGAGUAACAGGAUUAAAAAAAAGAGAACAAAUCUCAACAGGUUAACAGGUUGACUUUUAAUUGGGUUUGUUAGAAAGAUCUGUGACAUGACUUAGAAUCAUGAAAUUGUAUAUCAAUAGCUAGGUAAAGAUUUGGUAGCUGUGUGUAUAUGUCCUAUAACUCUGUACUAGGAUGUUUGGUUUUUAUGUAGAGAAAUAACAGAGCUAAGUUGAAGGUUUAUGAAAGUAAGAAUGAGUAGAUGACUGUCUCAUAUGGAAGUUGUUAGUCUUUCAUUCUUUCUUUCUUUUACCAUACCUUCAUAUUACUUUUAGUCAAUAAGCAUUUAAGUCUUCUGGCUGUGAUGUUAAAAUGAAUCUAUAUAUCCUGUACUGAAUACUUACAGGCAUUCCUCACAUGCUUGAUUUUCUCAUCUUCUAACUGAUGGCUGUCGUGUUACUCCAGACAUUUGGAAGUUUUGUGGAGAUGAAUCUUAUAUUUGUUUUCUUUCUCUGGUCAAGUAAUCAUACAUUUCUUUUGCUUAUUAAAGAAAAAUAAAUUGUGGUUAGUGGUUACUAAAGAUAAUGAUGUUUUGCAUGAUGGGUUUGAAAGAAAACCUGCUUCUAAUUGCUUCUUUUUUUACUUGGUGUACAGUACACCGAAAGUGGAAACCUGAAUCUUCUCCAAAUCUGGGUGAUCCUGCUAUGUCUGUUAAAAGAGUAGGGGCGCCUGGGUGGCGCAGUCGGUUAAGCAUCCGACUUCAGCCAGGUCACGAUCUCACGGUCCGUGAGUUCGAGCCCCGCGUCAGGCUCUGGGCUGAUGGCUCAGAGCCUGGAGCCUGUUUCCGAUUCUGUGUCUCCCUCUCUCUCUGCCCCUCCCCCGUUCAUGCUCUGUCUCUCUCUGUCCCAAAAAAUAAAUAAAAAACGUUGAAAAAAAAAAGAGUAAACCUGCCAGCAAGUGAGGACUGUUUUGAGUUGACAGAUAGUUUGCUUUAUCUUCAGCUUUGAUCCCCCCCCCCGCCCCCGCUUAAAACUCAUUUAUCUUAGACUUAAAAAAAAUGUUCUCAUUACAAUACAAACAUAAUUUUUUACUUGUUAGGUCCUCAUCUUCUGUUGAGGUUAAGAUUUUUUUAAAUUAUCUUUUGAUUCAUGAAUGAAUAUUAAGUUUCUGUUCAGAAACAUAGACUUGGUAUAGUUUCUUUGGCCAUGUGAUACAAGAAAAUAGUUAAUUCUCUGAAAGGUGAUUUUUUUUCCAGUAAUUUUGAGGUCAUUAUGUAUUUGUUAGCAUAUAUUUGUUAAAUACAAUGGAAAAUUUCUCUCUCCUAUACAGAAAUAAGAAUUGGUCAUAAAGUUGACUAAUACAGGUUGAGUUUCUGCUGUGUCUGUGUACCUGUCCUCUGCACCAAUAAUAUGUACACAAAUGAGAUGUGCUCUGUGUUGUAAAGAUGCCCACAAUUGAGAGAAAACUAAAAAAUAAAGUUUCAUAUAAACAAUCUGUAAUAAUUUAACUAGUUACAAAACUGAAUCUAGUUUAAAGGACUCUAGGUUAAAUCUACUUUAAAGGACUAAGUUAACUAGUUACAAAACUGAAUCUAGUUUAAAGGGGUAGGAGAUAGUAACAGUUGUAUGUCCCUCUAUACUUGAAUACCAGAUGGUUUAUGUUUGAAAGAAGGCUUGGGUGACUUUUUAAAGGAAGUUUUAAAAUAUAAUUCUGUAUGAUUUGAGACAUCACAGUUUGUUUGUAUCCCUAGUCUGUGUUUAGAGCUUUUUAAAAAUUAAAAUUAGUUUAUUUUCAUUCAACUCUGUUUUUAAGUUUUUGUGUCAUAUAUCCAUACCCAGUAGUUUUCUUUAUAUUUUCUUUGCCCUCAUUUAAGUUUGGAGUUUAGUAAGAGAUAGUGGGCUAAGUAUCAGUUAACAAUGUAAACUAUUCACUUGCCCUUUUGCACAUAAUUUUCUUUUAAGGUUUUAGGAAAUAGGGUGGUGAUGCCUAAUCUGUAUUAGGAUUGUAAUACUAGCACCAUCUUUGUAUAUAACUUUGAGAGAUUUGAUCCUUUUGACUCUGAAAAGUGAGUUGGCUACGGGAUGAAUGUCUGAUUUAUAGAUGGCAGUAGUAAGGCUCCGUGAAUGAAGUGAUUUGUCCAGUGACAUUGCAGAGCCAGCACUAAAUUUGAUGCUCAAAAUGGAUUGCCUUAUUACACAUGUUGAUUCCUGGCAAAGAUGAUGAUUUUACAUUAUUUACUAGGUAUCUUUAAAGAACCGAGGUGCCGAUCUAAUAGUUAGGGAAUAGAUGAGAGACUGGGCAAUAUAAGAGAAACUUUGAUGAUCUUACUUGAAGGAGAGCAGUUGUAAUAAAACAGCUGUAUUUAUAGAGCACUGUUCUGUGCACCUUCCAUGCAUUGUUCCAUUUGAUCCCUAUAGCAGUCUUAAUAGAUGAGUGCUAUUUUCCCCAGGUUAUAAGGAGAAAAUUGAGGCCCAGAUAGGUUAUGUAAAUUAGCCCAAGAUCACACAGCUGGUAAAUGGCCAUGCUGGUAUAGGAAUUCUGGUAGUCUCACUCUAGACUAUACUUCAUAGCUAUACUAGACUGCUUCCUUGUAUAGCAGUAGGAGAUUAUGUCAUUAAGCUAACCUCCUUAGAUUCUGAAGGAAUAGUGUAUACUUCAGCAAUUCUAAACUAUCCAGGUUGAGAGAAUUUAGCAACCUAAAUCCUGGCAAUUAAAUUAUUAGACUUUUAAUGGUUUCAUACUGAUGGUGCUGCCAAGUGACUGGCCUAAGUUGACACAAAUCAUCUCACAAAAAUUCAGAUGGGUUGAAACAUACAUAUCUAUAUUAUGUGUAUCCUAAAAUUAAUGAAACGUCAUGAAUGGUAAGGUUCUAUUCCAGUUUGUGCAAAUGUAGUCUAUUUUUUGUUUAUCUAAAUGUAAUCUCAGAAAAUGACAAAUGUCUUGAAUUUAUAUAUAAUUGUAGAUGAAGAGGAUUUAAGUUAAAUAAUUGUCCCAAAAUGCAGCUAGUUAUUAUUUUGGGUUGUUAAGGAUAUACUUUUUAAACAGAAGUAUUUGUAUUUAUUUCUAAUCAAAUGAAUAUCUGCUUACAUUCAGAGAUGUAGUUUUUACAGUUUUUCACUGAUUAAUUUUUUGCAUUCAUUCAUAAGGUAAGUUAGUGGUAUAAAGGAUCAUGGUUUUUAAGUAUAAGACUUAAUACCCUCUGUGUACUUAUUUGUGGAAUUUGACCUUAACACCACAUUUAAGAGGAACCAAAUAAAAAGGCAGUCUAAUUUUUUAUGGGGUGCUUGAGUGGCUCAGUCGGUUAGACACCCGACUUCAGCUCAGGUCAUGAUCUCACAGCUUGUGAGUUUGAGAUCCGCGUCGAGCUCUGUGCUGACAGCUCAGAGCCGGGAGCCUGCUUCGGAUUCUGUGUCUCCCUCUCUCUCUGCUCCUGCCUGGGAGCCUGCUUCGGAUUCUAUGUCUCCCUCUCUCUCUGCUCCUGCCCCGCUUGCACUCUGUCUCUCUCAAAAAUGAAUAAACAUUAAAGUAUACUUUUUAAAAACAGCAAUCUAACUUUUUAGAUAAUCAAUUUACAACUUCAGGUUUGCAGAAGGAAUGGUUUUGAAUAAUCAACAAGAUUUAAAAAGUUAAUUUUUAGACAAAAAUAGCUUAGGUUGUGUGAUUUCUUUCCAGCAGGAAAAACUUCAGGAAAUAAUAAUGAAGAAAAGAACUUUUGAAGUGCCCACGUGAAGAUCUUCACUUUGUUUUGAUAUCAUAAAACAACUGGGCUAAUUUAGUUUACAUUUUGAGCAACUAAUGUGUUGUAGCGUCGAUGGAAUUGCUUUUAUUACUUUACCUUUAAUUUUAAAAAUAUCUGGUAAAGAAUGAAACAGGCUUGAUUUUAUCUAACAUUAGGAACUUCCCAAAUUGGGAUGCUAAGAAUGAGCAGAUUGUGCAGUGCUCCCCAGUUUCUACUUGUUUUUUUUUUUUCACGCUGGUAUUUCUUCUGAGGACAUUGUGAUAAAUGAUUAAACUUGUUAUUAAAAGAAUAGAAAUACGCAUAGAAAAAUUUUUAUAUAGUAUAUAUACACAAAUGGUUGGCCGUUUAUGAAUAAAGUAUGCCAAGUAGAAUAUCUGAAUUAAUUAUGGUUUUAAGAAGUGUCAAAGUGUCCAUAAAAUUCAGAUAUUUAAUAUUUUAGACAAUUUAACUUAUGGCUCACAUGUAUGUGUUCUACCAUUCCAUUUUCUUCUGUUUCCUAAUAACUAAAAUUUUGUAAUUAUAAUAAUAUAUUCUCAAAAGUAGCUUAAAUUGAAAUUUGUGAAGCUCUACAUGACUGUGAUUUUCUAGUGUACUUUUCAUUAAGCUUAUAUGAACUACUGCUUUGUAGCUUCAAGAAUGAUCUGGCUGAUGGAAUUCAUAGUGGCAUCAUUGUAGCAACUGUAUUAAGAAUUUUUCCUUCAACUAUUUUGAGUCAACAUCCUAUUUUCAUUGAACUUAAGAUGCUAUUAGUGGUAAGAUACUCCAUUAUAUGAUGUGCCCUUAGGAAAAAAACCUAAUGAGAAGGCUAAAAUACUCUUCAGAUAAAGCUGGGAGACCAAGGGGCUGUUUAGUCCCUUCAUGUGAAGCAAGAAGUAAACCUGCAGAGGGACAACAAAGUAACUUCUGAAUGCCUCAACUUUGGUUAUUGGGCCGAGGGAGGGAAAAGUCACUUCUGAGGGUUUGAACCAGAAGUCUCGUAAGCUUGCAACCUGGAUCAGUUUGUAUAAAACAAAAUAUUGAUAACUUAGAAAUUUUAAAUGGUAUCAUGUUGAUGGUGCUGCCAAUGACUGGCCUAAGUUAACACAAAUCCUCUGGAAGAAUCCAGAUGAGUUGAAACAUAUAUCCCCAUAUUAUGUGUAUCCUAAAAUUAAUGUUUAAAAAAGGAAAUCGUAACAUUUCCACAAAGUAGAUUCUUUAGGCUUCGGGGAACAGGCUUUUUGUGAUGCUCAGGUGUCUGGAAGAGUUUUUAUUUUGUCUAAUACUUAAAAUAGCUUUUCAUAAGAAUGUAGUAUAUUUUGUAUUUAUGUUUUUGUUCUUUAACUUCAUAUUUAAAAUAUCACAGUUUUUGUCUAAAAUUACAUUAAUAAUCUUUUUACUUUCAGAUGCUCAGUUGUACGUAAUUUAAGAAUCUUUCCGGUGUUUGUCCAGUUGAACAAGCCUAACUAGUUGCUGCCCCUCAGAAUUCACAGAGAUGUUGAGGGAGAAUUUAGCUUUUUAUUUAACACUAAAUCUCUGUAAUCCAAUUCCAUGAGUUUUAGUCUAAACGCAAAUUUUCUAGCUGUUUUAAGAUUUGAAGUGUGGGAAGAAAAACAAUUGAGAACUUUGUCAGACUGUUUAAUGGUUUUCAAAUAUUGUUUGCUUUAAGUGUCACUGGCCUGUUCUAGUCAACUUUUGUUAUAUGUAAGGAUUUUUGUCCCUUGGUUUUUAAAUGGGAUUUGAUCACUGUCUUCUGAAGUCAAGAGUAUUUCAAAUUGAAAUUAGAUUCAUUUGUACUGCUACCAUGUGGAAGUGUUCUGUUACAUGAUGGAGAUUUUACCCCACUUAAUGUCUUUAGUUGUUAUGAGAAAAUACUUCUUUCCCAAGUUUUCAAAGUUCAGCUUUUCAAUUUAGCUUAGAAUUCUAAUUUUUCGAUAUGUUGACAGCUUUGGAUUUUAUAUAUAGACCAUUUUAAGUACCAGGCUGUUUCUCUCUGUUGCCCAGUAUGCUUCCUCUCAUAAUCAGUUAUUUAGUACUUUAAGAAUGCAAAACUACAUUGCUAUUAGCCUUAAAGUAAAAUUAGGUGUGAGUAUAUAUUGUUGGGAGUAGGGCAAGGAGGGAACAAGCCUAGUUCUCAUUUGAUUGCUCUGUUUUUUUCUCUUAAUGUAUAAUUAUUUCUCUAAUUCUUUUAGCCUGGGUAGUGGAAGCUUAUACUUUUGUUUUCAAAUUCUGAACCUUUUUUUUUUUUUUUUUUCCAACUGUUAAUUUCACCAUAUAUUCCAAGUACUGGUCACAUGUUUUCUGUCAGGUUCUUGUUUCAUGAUGUUUAAGCAAUUUAUCGGGUAUUUUAAGGAACAGAAACCCUUCUUGUUUGUUUUUUAAUCCAUUAAUACAAUGAUACUUCAUUUUAAUGGUACUUUAGCCUCGUUUUGCUCUGAGUUGAUUUUCUCAAAUAAUAAAAUUCAGUAUACAAGUGUUAUUACCUUUAGUAGACUUUAUAUGUUCCUGUUGACCAAUAUACUUGUUUGUAUUUCCUAUUUCUCCCAAUUUUCAUUUAAUUUGAAACUAAAUACCUACUUACUGUGUUCCAGUACCUAUGAUUAUUAUAUACGAUUUUUAUCCCCCUCCAUGUUUUCCUUAGAUUUUUUCCUAUUACAGUCAAAGUUAUAAUGUGGGAUUAUACUAAUAUGGAUGACUGUUGGGUCAAAAUCCCUUGGAAAUUUAUGUUAAUCCACAUGUUUUUCUAAUUCAUUUUUGGUAGUAAAGAUUCAUUCAUAGUUUUGGAUGGCAGACAUUGGUAGGCUAGAUUAACCUCCAAAACUAGUAUUUUCUUUCUUCAGAUAUUCGUUUAUGUGCUUUAUUUUUUCUUUUCAAGAGAGGGCAUAGGUGAUUUAUGUCUGAAGUUUGGGGUUUUUUACAUAUUUUUUAUAGUCAUUGAAUUUUAAGUACCUUUGAUCUAGAAUUUUUUAAAGAGCCAGAUUACUGUAAAAUUUAUUUACUACAGAUAUUAAAAGUCAAAGGUGAGAAAUAGAAAAAAUUUUUGUCUCCGAAGAAGGGAGAAAAACAUGAGUGAGGAGUUAAAAUUAAAAGGACGUUAAUAUUCUCAAAUUUACAUUGGAAAUAAAAGUGCAAACUUUUAAGUUUAUUUGUUAAAAUAAUUUUAACUAUACAUAUAAAUUAUGGCAAAUAUUAAAAUAGCUCAUUGAUAAAAUACUUCAUUCAUUCAACAAGCACUUACUAAGCAUACUAUUCAUGUAAUAAUAGUGUUAAUUGAGUUUAAAUCUUGAGGUGUACAUAUUAACUUUGAUAACCAGAUAGAUUCUUAAAGUCCUGUUAAAUGCUUUGGUUUUAUGUAGUAACCUUUUUUUACUUUUAUUCUAGAUGCCUGGAAUGAUGUCUUCAGUAAUGCCUGGAAUGAUGAUGUCUCAUAUGUCUCAAGCUUCCAUGCAGCCUGCCUUACCGGUAAUCCAGUAAAAGUGAUUAUUUUCUGUGAUGUUUUGACUGCUUUACCACUUUUAUAUAUGACGUAACAUGCUAUAUAUAAUUUUUUAUAGGCUGUCAUGUUAGCUUUUUAAGUAUGUCUUGAGUACUGUAACACAAAAUGGGAAUUAGAGUGGGCUUUUAUUUUUUUAGGUUCUUCAGUGAUAGACAUUCACAUUUUUUCCUGUACUUAUGUGUAAUCUUUAGUUUUUAAUCUAUGUUAAACAAGAGUAGAAUAAGAAGUAUAACCUAUCCAGUAGAAGCAUUUUAUUGGUUUGGUUGCAUUUUGGGGGGCCGAGGGGGGACGGGAGAGAGAGAGCGCACAUGCAUGCAAGCAGUUGUGCCCAAAAAGGGCAGGGGCAGACAAGGAGAGAGAACAUCUUAAGCAGGCUCCCUGCCCAGACCAGAGCCCAACAUGGGGCUUGAUCUGACAACUAUGAGAUCAUGAACUAAGCCAAAAUCAAGAGUCAGAUACUUAGUCCACUGAGCCACCCUGCCCCUGGUCUGGUAGCAUUUUAAUCUUAAAGAGUAGACAUUUGCUUUAUGGAGUGUUAAUUAAAAAUUGAUGUAGUGGGAUUUAGUACUCGAUCCUAGAUUUAGAAAUCAGAAGGUUUUAUUCGAAAUUUAUCUUACAUGAGACUUCAGUGAUGGCACAUUACUUAGAAAAUGCUUGACAGCCUUUUCACCCUUAUUGAAUUGUAUAGCAGUAUGUAUAUCAUUAUUAUAUUCAUAUGAGCAUAACUUAUUUAUUACCUGGUAGCCUAGUGGUUGUAAUGAGUAGAUGUGGCAUACUCCACUGGGGUGGUAAAUUUGCAAAGGUCUUAUCCAAAACCCUUGGGCCAAAUAUAUUCUUAAGUUGUUUAAUAUUGUAAAAUUGUACUUUGUGUACUCUAUAUAUCAUAUAAAGGUUUCCCUCAGGGUGUUUGGACAGUGCCUUAUAAUUUCGAACACAAUGUUUCUGUAGCAGUAUCUUAGGGAUAUUCUGUCUGGAGUGGGAUGAAUAAAGACAAAGAGCUCGUGUCAUUCAGGGCAGAUUUUGCCACUCUAAUGAGUGUUGAUUUGAAACUUGAAAAAACUUGGUUUUUAGAGCUUUUUCUGUUUCAGAAUUGUGGGUAAAGGGUUGUGGAACUAUAUGUAAGUGAUGAUCACAUAAAUAAAACACUUAGAUUGAAGUGCUUCAGUAGCCCCAAGUUAUUGGUGCUUUUACAGUUUAUAGCAAGCUCAGGGAACUAAUACCACUGAAACUUACUGAGAAACUUUGAAUCAGUGGCUUGAGAAUUAUACAUAAAGGGGACUGAUUGUGCUUUAUGAGGAACAUAUAUGAAAUAUAGUUUAAACAGGUGAAUAUUACUAAUUUCAUUUUUUUUCUUACAGCCAGGAGUAAAUAAUAUGGAUGUAGCAGCUGGUAUGUAUGCCAUUUAUGGUUUAAAUAUUAAACUUCACUUGAACAGUAGCUAUAGUUUUAUUAUAAUAAGUAAUAAAAGCAGUGUCUCUUGGGGCUUUAUGAUUAACUCCUGAUUAUUUUUUCUUUUUUUUUUUUUAAGCCGUGGGAAACAGGGGUAGCAUUCAUAAUUUAAUCCAUAAAAAAUUACUAGAUCUGGAGUCCUGGGACCAGAUUUGGUCUACAGUUACUCUUUACCCAAAUGUUUUUAAGUUUUAUAAUUAGUUGACAACAUUUAAAGUCUGUGGGCCCUAUGUAAGAAUUAAAUGUAUCUUUUUACACAAAGAUUUGAAUUUAUCUUGAAAAAUGGGAUUAUCUGAAUAUUCAUUGUUGACAGUGGUCCUUAUGAACACAGUAGGUAAUCAGAGAAUAUUUGAAUGAGAAAUUCUGGUUGAGCCCAUACUUGUACUCCGCAAACAUUGUGGAAUGAGGUAGUAACUCCUUCCUUUAGAUAUGAAGGCCAACUCUCAUUGGCCUUCUGGACUACUUCGUCCUUGUAGCCAUUGGAGUUUGUAAACCUUGUGGUAAACCAGCCAGUUAUCAAUAACUGUUUGUUUCACCUAGUGUACUUUCCAUAUAUAAUAGUAAUGCCUCAAUUAUCCAUGAAUAAAUAAUGUUCCAGAUAAAUUGGUUUUACAGAUGCUGAGCCUUAUUCCAUGAUUAUGCCAAAACAUUUCUUGUUUUAAACAUGGUUUGAAACAUUUAAAAUGCACUAUGUUGUGCUUUUCUGCAGGUUUAUAUGGGGCAUAAUUGGUCUUUUUAAGAUACUUCACAAAUUUAUUUAAGCUGACAUGAUGUUCUGAAAUACAUAGUAUAGUAUUUUGCCUGUUUAGAUAUAUAGAGCUGAUUACUGUUACUAUUAGCCUAAAUAGUCCUGGAAAAUCACCUUAAAAAAAUUUUUUUUUAACUGAAGUAUAAGUUAUAUACAAUAUUCUAUUAGUUUUAGUUGUAGAACAUUUUGAUUCGAUAUUUUAAUACGUUACAAAAUGAUCCCCAUAGUAAGUCUAGUUACCAUUUGUCACCAUCCAGAGUUACUAUAAUAUUAUUGACUAUACUUCCUGUGCUGUUCAUUCCAUUGCCUUAUUUUACAACUGGAAGUUUGUAUCUCUUAAUCCUGUUUGCCUAUUUUGCCCUCCCCUCUUUGGUAACCAACAAUUUGUUUCCUGUGUAAGUCAGAAACAGACUCAUAAAAUUUCUUCUUAAUUACUUUUUAAAUGCCUUAGCUCUACCAGUGAUAUCCAUAGUAGCUUCCUUUGAUUGUUCUCAGUAUAUAUAUUUGUGUGUGUUUACUUUGUUUUAUUCUCUUUUUACAUAUACUUUCUUUUUUACACGUAGUUUUAAAUUACUAGUUUCUAAAGUUAAAGCUUAUUCAUUUGAACUUGGUGACUAAUGGGGAUUUCCCCUUAUGUCUAAAGGGGUUUUGAUAAUAAUAUAGGAUAGUACCAUCUAAUAGACCUUUCUGCAGUGAUGGAAAUGUUCUGUAAUAUGUACUGUUGAAUACAGUAGUCAAUAGCCACAUGUGAUUACUGAGUCCAUGAAAUUGGCUAGUGCAAAAGAACUGAAUUUUUUUAUUUUAUUUAAUGUUUAUUAAAAAUUUUAACCUAAGCAGACGUGUGGUAGCUACUGGAUACUGUAUUGUACACCACAAGUAUGGAAUUUAUAUAGUGGAAGUUGCCAGAAAUCUAAAGCAUAGAAUCUGAAGUCUGACGUAUUAUAUUUCAGUACUGUAGUAGAGAAAGGAAUUAGUCAAGAUAAACACCUAUAACAGCAAGACGAGAAACAAAAGGCAGAGGUUGUGAAUACUUCUCAAACUGGAUCCAAGUGAGUUUUCAUUUUGCAGGUCCAAAGUGCCACUUUAUUCUGAAAAUGCUUUAGGCUGUAGUAUUUGUUUUGUGGAAAAGAGAGCAUGCACAUAGGUCACAUGGAACAGCCUUAUAUUUAGUGUGCUAGGAUAAGGCAGAAGAAAUAGUAUGAACAAAUACUUUAAAACUGUUCACUCAAGGAGAGUAUGAUUUAUCACAUUGUAAAUAUUCUUUUUUUUUUUUUAAAGGUACAGCGUCUGG
rnacentral:lncRNA from 1 species